GACGAACGCUGGCGGCGCGCUUAACACAUGCCAGUCGAACGGAAAGGCCUGCUUUCCCUUGUGGAUUGCGGGUACUCGAGUGGCGAACGGGUGAGUAACACGUGAGUGAUCUGCCCCCAACUUGGGUAUAAGCCUGGGAAACUGGGUCUAAUUCCCGAUAGGACUGCAGGGUGGUGCCUGUGGUGGAAAACGAUUUUCUAGUGGUUGGGGAUGAGCUCGCGGCCUAUCAGCUUGUUGGUGGGGUAAUGGCCUACCAAGGCGGCGACGGGUAGCCGGCCUGGGAGGGUAGACGGGCACAUUGGGACUGAGAUACGGCACAGACAAAUACGGGAGGCAGCAGUGGGGAAUAUUGCACAAUGGGCGGAAGCCUGAUGCAGCGAAGCCGCGUGGGGAAUGACGGCAUUCGGGUUGUAAACUCCUUUGGACCGCGAGGAAGCCACCUGGUUGGAAGGGUGGUGACGGUAGUGGUAGAAGAAGCACCGGCUAACUACGUG
rnacentral:rRNA from 1 species